rnacentral:lncRNA from 1 species
ACUGUUGUAGUCAGAGCAGAGCAUAGAACUUCAGAUGAAGUGUGGAUAUGGCACAGGCCAGUGAUUCUUCAUGCAAGGCUCUGCAAACAGCAUUGGAAGAGAGAGUAUGUCAGUUUUCCACCAGCAACUUCCACCAAGGCACAAGCACACAAGUUUAAAGAGACCUUUUCAUCAUCCUUGAAAGAGACAAUAAGAGCCUUGUACAACAUGAUUAUUAGCUUAUGGUCCAGAUGUUCAUCCUGUCUCUCAAAACUAUGUUGAUAAAAGGGCUCCACUAUUAUGGGUUGCUUUAAGGUCUUCCAGCUGUUUCAUCUCUCUAGAGAAGGCAAAGUCAGAAAAAAUAGAAUGACUUGUCACAUUAUAUAUGAUUGAUAGAUAGAUAGAUAGAUAGAUAGAUAGAUAGAUAGAUAGAUAGAUAGACAGAGACAGAGAAACAGAGAGAAAGGUAGAGAGAUUAGAUUGAUAGACAGAUAGACAGAUAGAUAGAUAGAUAGACAGAUAGACAGAGACAGAGAAAGAGAGAGAAAGGUAGAGAGAUAGAUUAGAUUGAUAGACAGACAGACAGACAGAUAGAUAGAUAGAUAGAUAGAUAGAUAGAUAGAUAGAUAGAUAGAUAGAUGGAUAGAUAGAUAGAUAGAUGGGUAGAUGAAUGGAUGGAUGAAUGGAUGAAUAGACAGAUGGAAAAAUGGAUAGAUACAUAGAUACAUACAUAGAUAUAUAGAUACAUAGAGAGAGAAAGAGAUAGAUGAAUUAUUGAGAGAUAAUGAUACAUGAAAGAUUGUAAAGAGAUAGAUGAUAGAUCAAAAAAUAGAUAGUAGGUAGAUAAAUAGAUAGAAUGAACACUUAUUAAGCCCUUAAUAUGUGUCAGGUACUAAACUAAGCACUAAGAAAACAAGAAGAUUCCUAUCCUCAAGGAGCUUACGCUCUAGUGACGGAAGACAACAACUAAAGGAGUGCUACAAGGGGUAAGGUAAGGAAGGCAGCUGGGGUAGGGAUAGAGAAGCUAGAAGAGGAGACAAUUUGAGGGAAGCAUGUGAGAGGCAAGAAAAAAAAAUUCUUCAUGUAGAGAUUAAAUUUUUCCAGAAAGAAUUCAUAGGUCUUUGAAUCUUGAGAAAAUCAUAAGGAACUCAUAAGCUCCUAUCUAUCUGAGCUUGUAUAAACAGAAGCCUGAACAGAGGCAGGGACCUAGAUUAUAUGGUCCUGUGCAGCUCUAUACUCAAUGGGGCCUAUGGACAGAGCUGGAAAACUCCUAGAGAAAGAG